GGAGGUCUAGAGGUUAAUAGGAGAGGAGGCCAGGAGGUUUAGAGGAGAGGAGGUCCAGAGGUUAAGAGGAGAGGAGGUCUAGAGGUUAAGCGGAGGUCUGGUGGCCAGGAAGUUUAGAGGAGAGGAGGUCUAGAGGUUUAGAGGAAAGGAGGCCAGGAGGUUUAGAGGAGAGGAGGACAGGAGGUUUAGAGGAGAGGAGGUUUAGAGGUUUAGAGGUUUAGAGGAGAGGAGGUCUAGAGGCUUAGAGGAGGUCUAGAGGUUUAGAGGAGAGGAGGACAGGAGGUUUAGAGGAGAGGAGGUCUAGAGGUUUAGAGGAGAGGAGGUCUAGAGGUUAAGAGGAGGUCUGGUGGCCAGGAGGUUUAGAGGAGAAGAGGUCUAGAGGUUUAGAGGCGAGGAGGUCUAGAGGAGGACAGGAGGAAGUAAGGACGGUGUCCAGGGGCGCCUCCAAGGGGCAACCACCAUAGAUUGACCGGCCAGUCCAAUGGCCCCCCUCACCCUGCCGGACUCCUCCUUAUGCAUCCCAUAAACAGCACUGCUAUCGUUAAGUAGAUAGGCAGAGAGGGCAUUGUUCUUUAUUGUAUUAUGCUGUAAACUAUGAAAUGUUUCUGUGUUAUUGAAUGUCC
ensembl:lncRNA